rnacentral:rRNA from 1 species
GAUGAACGCUGGCGGCGUGCCUAAUACAUGCAAGUCGAGCGAACGGACGAGAAGCUUGCUUCUCUGAUGUUAGCGGCGGACGGGUGAGUAACACGUGGAUAACCUACCUAUAAGGCUGGGAUAACUUCGGGAAACCGGAGCUAAUACCGGAUAAUAUUUUGAACCGCAUGGUUCAAAAGUGAAGGACGGUCUUGCUGUCACUUAUAGAUGGAUCCGCGCUGCAUUAGCUAGUUGGUAAGGUAACGGCUUACCAAGGCAACGAUGCAUAGCCGACCUGAGAGGGUGAUCGGCCACACUGGAACUGAGACACGGUCCAGACUCCUACGGGAGGCAGCAGUAGGGAAUCUUCCGCAAAGGGCGAAAGCCUGACGGAGCAACGCCGCGUGAGUGAUGAAGGUCUUCGGAUCGUAAAACUCUGUUAUUAGGGAAGAACAUAUGUGUAAGUAACUGUGCACAUCUUGACGGUACCUAAUCAGAAAGCCACGGCUAACUACGUG